rnacentral:lncRNA from 1 species
CAAAGGAUGUCAGUUGGUUAAACUCCUUCGUUUUCUUUUACUUUGAACUGGUAAAGGAUAAGGUAUUUGUUGAUGUACUGGUAAAGAAUAAGAUGUUUGUCGUUGUUUUGUUUUGCUUUGCAUUUCUCAGUGCUAGGGAUCAAAUGCUCUGCCUUGCUCAUGCUUGGUAAGUGCUCUACCACUGGCUUAUAUUCCCAGCCCAGUAAGAUGGCUUUUUAAUGUUCCUAAUCCUUUUAUAAUAUAGCACAUCUAUUUCUGAAAAGUUAAAGAGAAACUAAAUUUGUAACAGAAGUAUCUGAGUAUUUAUAUAACACUACUUGUUUUCUGUUUUCCCUAACUCUUAAAUAUAGUUCCUGUGGGUUUUUACGUUACCAAUAAAAGAAAUAUACUAAAUGGAAGAGGAAUUUUAAAAGGAAAAAAGCAUCCAGAAAAGAGACAAUAAGUUCAAAUUGUCCUGCCUCAUCAUGGUUCUCAUUAAAGCACCAUGAAUCCUAUAUGUACAAUUCAUUCCUACCCCAACCCAGCUCUUUUAAAUACUUAGAAACUG